AAGUCGUAACAAGGUUUCCGUAGGUGAACCUGCGGAAGGAUCAUUACAGUGUUAGGCUUCGGCCUCAUUCACGCCCCUUGUUGAACCUCUGGUUUCUUUGGCGAUGUCAUGGACUCGUCAAACUUUAACUCUGGUAAUGCGAUAUUGUCCGAGUGCCAUUGAAUUAUAAAAACUUUCAACAACGGAUCUCUUGGUUCCA
rnacentral:misc_RNA from 1 species